ensembl:snRNA U1 U1 spliceosomal RNA
AUAUUACCUAGUAGAGGAGAAACCAUAAUCAGGCCGGUGGUUUUCCCAGGGUGAGACUUGUCCAUUGCACUUGGAAUUUGUUGACCCCUGCGAUUUCCCCAAAUAUGGGAAACUCGAUUGCUGCAUAAUUUGUGUUAGUGGGGGAUUGCGUGCACACUCUCCCCUG